GACAGAGGCCUCGAGCGUUAGGCGGAAUCACUGGGCUUAAAGCGUGUGUAGGCGGAUCGUUAAGUGCCUUGUGAAAUCCCACGGCUUAACUGUGGAACGGCUGGGCAUACUGGCGGUCUUGAGCCAUCUAGGGGCGACUGGAACAAACGGUGGAGCGGUGAAAUGCGCAGAUAUCAGGAGGAACACCGGUGGCGAAGGCGGGUCUCUGGGCCGAUACUGACGCUGAGGAGCGAAAGCGUGGGGAGCGAACAGG
rnacentral:rRNA from 1 species